rnacentral:rRNA from 1 species
UCGAGGGGAAACGAUAUUGGAAGCUUGCUUCCGAUAGGCGUCGACCGGCGCACGGGUGAGUAACGCGUAUGCAACUUACCUAUCAGAGGGGAUAGCCCGGCGAAAGUCGGAUUAAUACCCAAUGACAUCCCACGAAGGCAUCUGAAUGGGAUUAAAGAUUUAUCGGUGAUGGAUGGGGAUGCGUUCCAUUAGGUAGUAGGCGGGGUAAUGGCCCACCUAGCCGACGAUGGAUAGGGGUUCUGAGAGGAAGGUCCCCACAUUGGAACUGAGACACGGUCCAAACUCC